UUCCCAGCAACUCCUAUCCCUACCUUCUUGUGGUACUGGCCGGGUACGAGUAACCAUAGGGAAGA
rnacentral:ribozyme from 1 species